rnacentral:lncRNA from 1 species
UCUUAUCAUAAACAAAUUGUCACAAUGUCUGACUUGUACCACUAAUACUCACUCCUGUGACUACAUCCACUACAAGUGUCACAUUAUCUUUUAUAUCUGUAGCAUCUCCAGCUAUUAAACUUCUACAACGUGACUCUUCCAUUCAGAAAUUCAGUGGGAAAGAUAGACACAUUCUCUUGCUCAAUUUUUUCAGUUGUGCGAAGUGUAUCUCUUGUAAUAUUAUAUGUUAUAGUAUAUUAUGUUGUAUAUAUUGCAUUAUAUUAUAUUAUGUGCUGUCCUCAGAUGACACAUGGGGAGGGAUUAAUGUAAUGUAGGUAAUAUUUCUUUUGACUGUAAAUUUGCUUGAUUUAUCAGAAGACAUAUUCAUGGUUCUCAGCCCUUAACACACAGGCGUGGUCCCUAGGGUAUAUCAUGUGUUUAAUGGGGGGUUCCACAUGCAGUCACAUUUUUUUCACAUCCCAUUUUACUUUUUAAUUACUAAAUUUACACAAACAUUGAGAAUUUCUCAUUCUCCCUACCUACAUAUUUUUUUGCUAGUGUCAAUUAUAUUUAUUCAUUACUUUUUGUUUUAGCAGCACCUCUACUGUUAUACAUUAUCUGCUCUAUCCAAGUUGAAUUAGCUCCUCAACUUGUGGUAUGUAGGUGAUUUAUGAUAUUGUUGAGUGUUUGUUUGCUUGUUUUUUUUGUUUACAUUAUCAUCUUUUCAUGUUUUUCAAUUAUGCUCAAUUACAUUAUAGAUAUAUAUUGCACAAUUAUCACAUCUAUUAUAUGUAAGAAACAAUACUUAUGACAUACUUUAUUCACCAUACGUAACACAUUUUUAAACGUAACAUUUUUCCUUAUGUGUAAGUGAUUUGAUUAUGCAUGAUCAUGUACCAUUUUUGUCAGUCAGUCAGUCUGGCAGUGGCGUUCCUACACCUGCGCACCACUAACUUGGUGGAGCCACAUCCGUUUCACCCGAGAAAAACUCGUCAGCCACAGUCGCGCUGGAGGUAGACCUGUAUCCGCCCAAGCGUCUGAGUAGCCCUGGCAUCCUGCUCCGCCUCAUCUGUGUCCAUGUGACAGCAGUCUAUCUCCAUUUAUCUCUCUUCAGAAGAGGACGCAGACCGCGGAGGCGUGAGGUCCUGCACAUACAGGUUGGGGCUAAGAUGUUUCAACUCCUUCAUUGGAGGCAUAGGUCCUGCCACUACUGACGGGAGAACCAAACCAGCGUGUCCAAACAACCCCCAACCUGCGGCAGGAAACUGGCUCUUGCACUGGAAGACGCCAACUGUCUCGCUGCACCUUCCACGGAGGAAUUGGACCCUGCCUGAAAACACAUGCGUGCCAUCCAGGUAGCGCGGACACGCUGCCUCGCUGAACCUUCCACGGAGGAAAUGGACCCUGCCUGACAACACAUGCGUGCCAUCCAGGUAGCACGGACACGCUGCCUCGCUGAACCUUAUACGGAGGAAUUGGACCCUGCCUGACAACACAUGCGUGACAUCCAGGGAGCGCGGACACGCUGCCUCGCUAAACCUUCCACAGGAAUUGGACCCUUGAUAACACAUGCGUGCCAUCCAGGGAGGGAGGACAGACUGCUUCGUUUCGUGUAAUCUAACUAACAAAUACAUGUUGCCAAUCA